rfam:Camelus ferus unplaced genomic scaffold scaffold224, whole genome shotgun sequence.
GUCACUCCGUGUUCUCACCGAAAGCACGUAAUCGCCGGUGUAACUCAUGUUGGCUGGGGGGGCCUCCCGGAGCGCGGCUAGACUGGGUGCUACCCCA